AUUGAACGCUGGCGGCAGGCCUAACACAUGCAAGUCGAGCGAGCGGCGGACGGGUGAGUAAUGCCUAGGAACUGCCUGGUAGUGGGGGAUAACGUCCGGAAACGGGCGCUACUACCGCAUACUAUCGGAUAACCCAUAUGGGAUUAGCUAGUAGGUGAGGUAAUGGCUCACCUAGGCGACGAUCCCUAGCUGGUCUGAGAGGAUGAUCAGCCACACGGGGACUGAGACACGGCCCAGACUCCUACGGAGGCAGCAGUGGGGAAUAUUGCACAAUGGGCGCAAGCCUGAUGCAGCCAUGCCGCGUGUAUGAAGAAGGCCCUAGGGUUGUAAAGUACUUUCAGUCGGGAGGCGUUACCGACAGAAGAAGCACCGGCUAACUACGUGCCAGCAGCCGCGGUAAUAC
rnacentral:rRNA from 1 species